rnacentral:sRNA from 1 species
GAUGGCAGCCGGUGGUCUGAGUCGCUCCGAGCGCAAAGCGGCUGAGCGGGUCCGGAGGUUGCGGGAGGAGCAGCAGAGGGAGCGCCUCCGCCAGGUACGCCGCCGCCGCUCCCCGGCCCGGCCAUGCCCGGCCCGCGCCGCCGCUCACCGCCUGCCUGCCCGCAGGUGUCGCGCAUCCUGAGGAAGGCGGCGGCGGAGCGCAGCGCCGAGGAGGGCCGGCUGCUGGCCGAGAGCGCGGACCUGGUAACGGAGCUGCAGGGCCGGAGCCGGCGGCGCGAGGGCUUGAAGCGGCGGCAGGAGGAGGCAGCGUCUAUCCCAGACUACCGGGGCCCUAAUGGAGUGUGGACACUGCUUCAGAAAGGGAGAAGCGUUAGUGCUGCGGACCUGAGUGAGGCCGAGCCAACCCUCACCCACAUGAGCAUCACCCGUUUGCAUGAGCAGAAACUGGUGCAGCAUGUGGUGUCUCAGAACUGUGACGGGCUCCACCUGAGGAGUGGGCUGCCGCGCACGGCCAUCUCCGAGCUCCACGGGAACAUGUACAUUGAAGUGAGCAGUCCUGCAGGGACCCGGGGUCUCCACGGGCAGGCGGGUCCCACUCACUGUGCCCUCUUGCCUCUAGGUCUGUACCUCCUGCGUUCCCAACAGGGAGUACGUGCGGGUGUUUGAUGUGACAGAGCGCACCGCCCUCCACAGACACCAGACAGGCCGGACCUGCCACAAGUGUGGGACCCAGCUGCGGGACACCAUUGUGCACUUUGGGGAGAGGGGGACGUUGGGGCAGC